AUGAACGCUGGCGGCGUGCCUAAUACAUGCAAGUCGAGCGAACAGAUGAGGAGCUUGCUCCUCUGACGUUAGCGGCGGACGGGUGAGUAACACGUGGAUAACCUACCUAUAAGACUGGGAUAACUUCGGGAAACCGGAGCUAAUACCGGAUAAUAUAUUGAACCGCAUGGUUCAAUAGUGAGAGACGGUUUUGCUGUCACUUAUAGAUGGAUCCGCGCCGCAUUAGCUAGUUGGUAAGGUAACGGCUUACCAAGGCAACGAUGCGUAGCCGACCUGAGAGGGUGAUCGGCCACACUGGAACUGAGACACGGUCCAGACUCCUACGGGAGGCAGCAGUAGGGAAUCUUCCGCAAUGGGCGAAAGCUUGACGGAGCAACGCCGCGUGAGUGAUGAAGGUCUUCGGAUCGUAAAACUCUGUUAUUAGGGAAGAACAAAUGUGUAAGUAACUAUGCACGUCUUGACGGUACCUAAUCAGAAAGCCACGGCUAACUACGUG
rnacentral:rRNA from 1 species